GUCAUGCAGCCAUGUUAGCAGCAAUCAAGAGAUACGUGCCAUCUUUGAUUCCUUCACCCUACUCUUCUGAACGGCUCGCAUUAAUGAAGCAAUUAAAGAGAACGAAGAAGAUGGCAAUUCAACAGAGCAAGAGCAUAGGCUAAAUUCCCUUGAAAGUUAACUAAUCCAGUAGUGAAGAUAUUAUCUACUUAACACUGUUUUGAAACAGAUGUAUUGUCCAUUAGAACAUUGUAUAGUAUUAAGAAAUAAAAUAAGUUAAAAUCGUGUCGACUGUAUUGUCAUGUCGUAUUCAUGCAAAUAUUGUGGAUUACUUAUGCAGAAUCUGUACUGUAAAUUUCACGAGUUUAAUCCUGUAUAUGAACUUGGGCAUCUUGGUCCUUUUUUCUUUUUUAAAUAAACUAUUCUCAAGGCCUCAAUUAGUCAA